GGUAAUAUGGCCAGUUGAGAUGCUUCAUCAAGAGAAAAUGAUGGAUCCCGUGUCAACGGUUCUGUAGGAGCUGGUACCGAAGAAUGUUGAUAUUCAGCUUGUUGCAUAUGCAUAUGAGAAUUUGCCAAUGCCGCUUGAGCGGUAACCUGAGCCAAUGCUUGCUGGUGCGACAUUCCGAAUGGACUCUGAGGAGGAUAAAACCCAGGCGAAUUAAGCAACCCAGAAGGACUAAGCCCCG
rnacentral:misc_RNA from 1 species